GCUAAGGAUCAGAGGUGUGCCUUAGCACACUCUUCUGUGCAGAGUGGGGGCUGAACCAUGGCUCUGUGAAUGCCAGACAAACACUCAACCAAUUGAGCUAUCUCCUUAGCCUCCACACAAGACAGAUGCACAAAGAAGGCAAAAGGCCUGCAGCCAGUGCUGUUUCCUUGAUACAUCUUCAGAUUCUGGGCAAUAGCUAAAAGGGAAAAAGACACUCCAAUAUAAACAGACUAGAGCCUGCAGCUUUUCCCUACUUUUCUUUUAAGGCCUUUAAUUUUCAUUUUUUAAUUUUUUCAUAUGUAUUUAUUUAAUGCUCUACCUGCCUGUAUAUAUGUACAUCGUAUGUGUGCCUGGUGCCCACAGAAGCCAGAAGAGGGCAUCAGAUUGCUCUGAACUGAAGUUAUAGAUGGUUGUGAGUUGCUUAUACAUCUGAGAAACCUUUCAUGUGGGUGCUAGGAACCAAACCUAGGUCCUCUGCAAGAAGAGCUGCUCUGAACUGAAGUCAUCUCUUUAACCCCUGUUAUUUUUGAGACAGGGUUUCAGGAGCUUUGAGCUGGUGCUGAACUCCUGAUCAUCUUGCCACCAUCUCUCAGGUGCUGAGAUGCCACCAAGCCUGGCUUAGGCUUUCAGUAUUCAAAUGAACACAAAAUUGGAUAUCACAAACUUUUUGUGGAUGACAAGCUAUUGUUUUCUACUCAUUGCUAUGUAGAGAAGACACUGGGUAGCCAUAGAUACCGUAUCUGCCUUUCGAAUAGCCUUAAGGUAAGAGGAUAAAAUCCAGACCUUGAAGCAUCAAGAAACUAAAAGAAGAGUUCAAAAGAUUUUUGUUGCAAAAGACUGGAAAGAAAGCAGAUUCUUGGUGGGUCAUUUCUGCCUGGACCUAAAGAACAGAGAGGAUUCAUGUAAAAGCCAGCUCGUACUCAACAGGAGAAAGGGCAACGCUGUCAGAGAAGCCAGCAAGACUCCAGUCAGAGAACAAACUGAACCCAAGAGGUCACUACGAUGACGUAGAAACGGACUCUCCAAAACAAAUUACAUCUCCUUGAUGAACCUGUAAAUACACAAACUAUUACACUGUUCCAAACCGUCUAGCUAAAGAAUUCCAAUGAAUGAUAACUAAAUACUGUAGAUGGAUGACACAGCGGUUACAUCUAGGACCCAAUAAAAAAGGCAAGGAAAAGGAAAGAGAAACCAUUCCAAAGCACAAGCUAGGCACAUGGACAACCAAGUCACUGGGUGCACCAAUCUAGAGAAGCCAUCAGCAAAUGCUGUCCUCACUGGUGUUAGCUCCGUUCCUCACAGGGCAAAAGAAGAAAUCAUUUCUGAAAGGCUUACCUGGCUCCCAUUCAAGGGAGAAAUUCCUAAGCUGAAGUUAGCCACUGGCAAGAAAGACUAAACAGAUAAGUCCUAGCUGUUUAUUUUGUAAAUCUAUAUAUGACUGACGCUUCCUAAAAGCUCUAUGGUUUUGGGUUGGAAAGCCACCCUGGAAACAAAUGUUCUGUUCCUGUUAGGCAGAAACACUCAUGACCUACAUCAGAAACAUACACCUGGCAUCAAGGCAACCGACUCCCACAGGCUAUGUCCUGGGGAGGACACGGAAUGUAUAUGAAGGCCUCUAUCUCAAAUCGGUCAUUAGGUAACUAGGAGAAUUAAAACUUCUUUAAAAAACAAAAACAAAAACAAAUUCAACAUUCCUAUAGAAACAGCACUUUGGAGUGACCAGUGUUAGGUGCUAGCAUCAAUUAGCCACAGAACAGUACUUUCCUUCCCACUUAGUCUACCAAACAAACCAACACCAUCACGCAUUAGAAAGACCAUCCUAUAAGCUGCUUGGUUUCAGUAAGACUGGUCACGGCAAGCCUACAGAACACCAAUGAGGAGGAGGUGAAGUAAGGAGUUUCCAAGGGAAAGGACAUUGGUUGUUCUAACAAUAUAAAACAUAGCUAAGUACAUGAUAAUCUAAGCCAAAGGGGAGGAUUGAGGUUACAGUAUCCAGCAGGGCUAGGUGCAAUUCCACAGUAGAUGGGAGUCUUCAGAGAUUCCUUCCUGAAGCUCUUGUGCUAACUCCCUGCCUGGAUUCACACACAGCAGGAUAAUCUUAUAAUGACAGGACACACAGACAACAGAGACACACACCCUUAACAGGAAAGCCUUAAGUCCUUAAUUAGGGCCACAGCACAGCACUGCUACUGCUUCCUGUGCUGUUUCUGGGGUAGGUUACCAUUUAAUAAAAACCCACUCUCUCCUACUGGAGACUGCAGGACU
rnacentral:lncRNA from 1 species